rnacentral:rRNA from 1 species
AACGAACGCUGGCGGCAGGCUUAACACAUGCAGGUCGAGCGCCCCGCAAGGGGAGCGGCAGACGGGUGAGUAACGCGUGGGAAUCUACCCAUCUCUACGGAAUAACGCAUGGAAACGUGUGCUAACACCGUAUACGUCCUUCGGGAGAAAGAUUUAUCGGAGAUGGAUGAGCCCGCGUUGGAUUAGCUAGUUGGUGGGGUAAAGGCCUACCAAGGCGACGAUCCAUAGCUGGUCUGAGAGGAUGAUCAGCCACACUGGGACUGAGACACGGCCCAGACUCCUACGGGAGGCAGCAGUGGGGAAUAUUGGACAAUGGGCGCAAGCCUGAUCCAGCCAUGCCGCGUGAGUGAUGAAGGCCCUAGGGUUGUAAAGCUCUUUCACCGGUGAAGAUAAUGACGGUAACCGGAGAAGAAGCCCCGGCUAACUUCGUGCCAGCCGCCGCCGUAAUAC